rnacentral:rRNA from 1 species
AAUGAACGCUGGCGGCGUGCUUAACACAUGCAAGUCGAGCGCGAAAGCGACUUCGGUCGUGAGUAGAGCGGCGAACGGGUGAGUAACACGUGGAUAAUCUGCCCAGGUGUGGGGGACAACUCAGGGAAACUUGAGCUAAUACCGCAUACGAUCCGCCUAUUACGGUAAGCGGAGGAAAGACCGCCAAUCCUUGGAAGCGGUCGCACUUGGAUGAGUCCGCGGCUGAUUAGCUAGUUGGCGGGGUAACGGCCCACCAAGGCAACGAUCAGUAGCCGGCCUGAGAGGGCGAUCGGCCACACUGGAACUGAGACACGGUCCAG